UCCGGCUUGCCACCGGCAGUUCCACUAGAAUGCUCAGCUUAACCUGGUAGCAACUAGUAGCGAGGGUUGCGCUCGUUGCGGGACUUAACCCAACAUCUCACGACACGAGCUGACGACAGCCAUGCAGCACCUGUGUUCUAGCCAGCCGAACUGAAGGAAGGCAUCUCUGCCGACCAAACUAGACAUGUCAAGGGUAGGUAAGGUUUUUCGCGUUGCAUCGAAUUAAUCCACAUAAUCCGCCGCUUGUGCGGGUCCCCGUCAAUUCCUUUGAGUUUUAACCUUGCGGCCGUACUCCCCAGGCGGUCAACUUCACGCGUUAGCUUCGUUACCAAGGAAUUGCUUCCCCGACAACCAGUUGACAUAGUUUAGGGCGUGGACUAC
rnacentral:misc_RNA from 1 species